GUCCGCAUGGUCUAGUGGCAUGACAUCUGUCUACGGAACAGAAGGCUGUGGUUUCGAUUACCACUGUGGACU
rfam:Thecamonas trahens ATCC 50062 unplaced genomic scaffold supercont1.32, whole genome shotgun sequence.